rnacentral:rRNA from 1 species
UGGGGAAUAUUGGACAAUGGGCGCAAGCCUGAUCCAGCCAUGCCGCGUGUGUGAAGAAGGCUUUCGGGUUGUAAAGCACUUUCAGUGGGGAAGAAGGCUUUUGGGUUAAUGCCCCAGAAGAAGGACAUCACCCACAGAAGAAGCACCGGCUAACUCCGUGCCAGCAGCCGCGGUAAUACGGAGGGUGCGAGCGUUGUCCGGAAUUAUUGGGCGUAAAGAGCUCGUAGGCGGUGUGUCGCGUCGGCCGUGAAAACCUGUGGCUUAACCAUGGGCGUGCGGUCGAUACGGGCAUCACUUGAGUUCGGCAGGGGAGACUGGAAUUCCUGGUGUAGCGGUGAAAUGCGCAGAUAUCAGGAGGAACACCGGUGGCGAAGGCGGGUCUCUGGGCCGAUACUGACGCUGAGGAGCGAAAGCGUGGGGAGCGAACAGGAUUAGAUACCCUGGUAGUCCACGCCGUAAACGUUGGGCGCUAGGUGUGGGGACCAUUCCACGGUUUCUGUGCCGCAGUAACGCAUUAAGCGCCCCGCCUGGGGAGUACGGCCGCAAGGCUA